rnacentral:rRNA from 1 species
AACGAACGCUGGCGGCGUGCCUAACACAUGCAAGUCGUGCGAGAAAAGGGUGGCAACACUCUGAGUAAAGCGGCGAACGGGUGAGUAACACGUAGGUAACCUGUCCCCGAGCCUGGGAUAACCUGUCGAAAGACGGGCUAAUACCGGCUACGCCCGCAGUAGCAUCAGCUACAGCGGCGAAAGGUGGCCUCUGCUUGCAAGCUACCACUGGUGCAGGGGCCUGCGGGCCAUUAGCUAGUUAGUGAGGUAAGGGCUCACCAAGGCGAAGAUGGCUAGCUGGUCGGAGAGGAUGACCAGCCACACUGGGACUGAAACACGGCCCAGACUCCUACGGGAGGCAGCAGUGAGGAAUAUUGCGCAAUGGGCGAAAGCCUGACGCAGCGACGCCGCGUGGGUGAUGAAGGCCUUCGGGUCGUAAAGCCCUGUCAGAGGGGACGAAACCGCCCCGACCUAAUACGUCGGGGACCUGACGGUACCCUCAAAGGAAGCACCGGCUAACUCCGUGCCAGCAGCCGCCGUAA